GACGAACGCUGGCGGCGUGCUUAACACAUGCAAGUCGAACGAACAGGCGCUGCUUUUGUUGCGUUCUCGAGUGGCGAACAGGUGUGUAUCACAUGAGUAAACUGCCCUUAACUUUGGGAGAACUUCAGGAAACUGGGGCUAAUACCGGGUAUGAUCUCCUGCUGCGUGUGGUUGGUUGGAGAAUUUCGGCUGUGCGGUAUGGUCUCGCGGCUUAUCCGCUUGUUGGUGGGGUAGGGGCUUUCCAAGGGUUUGACGGGUAGCCGGCAUGAGAGGGUUACCGGCCACAUUGGGACUGAGAUACGCACCAGAAUGCUACGGGAGGCAGCAGUGGGGAAUCUUGCACAAUGGGGGGAAGCCAGAUGCAGAAACGCUGCGUGCGGGAUGCCGGCCUACGGGUUGUAAACCGAUUUGGACUGUGCCGAAGAGUGAGUGACGGUAAUGGGUAAAGAAGCCCCGGCUAACUACGUG
rnacentral:rRNA from 1 species